CAGUAGCCGCGGGAAUACAGAGGGUGCAAGCGUUAAUCGGAUUUACUGGGCGUAAAGCGUGCGUAGGCGGCUAAUUGAGUCGGAUGUGAAAUCCCCGAGCUUAACUUGGGAAUUGCAUUCGAUACUGGUUAGCUAGAGUGUGGGAGAGGAUGGUAGAAUUCCAGGUGUAGCGGUGAAAUGCGUAGAGAUCUGGAGGAAUACCGAUGGCGAAGGCAGCCAUCUGGCCUAACACUGACGCUGAGGUACGAAAGCAUGGGGAGCAAACAGGAUUAGAUACCCCUGUAGUCCCUGUCUCUUAUAC
rnacentral:rRNA from 1 species